AUGGUCGACGCGGGUCAAAGUGUAUAGUAUCUGUUCCUAUCAGCUUAAUAUCUGAUACGGGUUGUAUUUAAACCCAAGAUAUUAAACUUUUUUUUUUCUUUUUUUGCAAGUUGGCGGAGUGCUUGAAGCCUGCUUUACCUAGCUCCGCCGCAGGUCGGCCUGGUAUUGCACUAUCUUCGGGAUUUUUGGUCUACGGACA